CAGUCGCCGCGGGAAUACGUAGGUGGCAAGCGUUGUCCGGAAUUAUUGGGCGUAAAGCGCGCGCAGGUGGUUUAAUAAGUCUGAUGUGAAAGCCCACGGCUCAACCGUGGAGGGUCAUUGGAAACUGUUAAACUUGAGUGCAGAAGAGGAGAGUGGAAUUCCACGUGUAGCGGUGAAAUGCGUAGAGAUGUGGAGGAACACCAGUGGCGAAGGCGACUCUCUGGUCUGUAACUGACGCUGAGGAGCGAAAGCGUGGGGAGCGAACAGGAUUAGAUACCCCAGUAGUCCCUGUCUCUUAUAU
rnacentral:rRNA from 1 species